AACGCACAUUGCACUCUGUUUCGGCAGAGUAUGCCUGUUUGAGAAUCUAUAGUAUUCAUUUUCCAACUUUGGGUAUUUAUACCUAGGGAAGGAGAGAUUUGAGGCGUCGCACUUACCCUGCGUGCCUUUAAAACUAUUGCUGCUGGAUACUGUCAAGUAACGGAAAAGUAUGUGUAUGGAACUUCGGUUUCUCUAAUACUCAGUACGUGUGAUGGUGCUUGUCCGGCACUCAACUAUUAAAGUUAUCCUCUCGGGGGUAACUUGAACCAUGGUCUCAAAUCAGGCAGGAAGACCCGCUGAACUUAA
rnacentral:misc_RNA from 1 species